ACGGGAUGCAGCGCGCGCCUGAGCUUCACGCCUGCUUCGGCUUCAGGAGUUUUUAAAGUCAAAUUGAACUUUCUGUCUUUGUGCCCACGCAUGAUGCUGCACGAGACCACACGCAAGGCUCCGGGAGAUGGUACUGAGAAGACCCUCAAUCCCACCUCAUUGAAGCAGAAUCCUAACGAGCAGGCAUUGACUCCAAAUAACUGCCACGGGCUUUCUAAGAAACUGCUCCUGCUUGAGUGAGUUUUGAGAAAAAUAAUGAAUGCAAAUUUUACUAUUAUAUCAAAACAUCUCUUAAUAAAGUUCAUUAAGAUGGGAAGGCAA
rnacentral:lncRNA from 1 species